rnacentral:rRNA from 1 species
CCUACGGGUGGCUGCAGUGGGGAAUAUUGGACAAUGGGCGAAAGCCUGAUCCAGCCAUGCCGCGUGUGUGAAGAAGGCCUUCGGGUUGUAAAGCACUUUCAGUGGGGAAGAAAGCCUUGGGGCUAAUACCCUCGAGGAAGGACAUCACCCACAGAAGAAGCACCGGCUAACUCCGUGCCAGCAGCCGCGGUAAUACGGAGGGUGCGAGCGUUAAUCGGAAUUACUGGGCGUAAAGCGCGCGUAGGCGGUCUGAUAAGCCGGUUGUGAAAGCCCCGGGCUCAACCUGGGAACGGCAUCCGGAACUGUCAGGCUAGAGUGCAGGAGAGGAAGGUAGAAUUCCCGGUGUAGAGGUGAAAUGCGUAGAGAUCGGGAGGAAUACCAGUGGCGAAGGCGGCCUUCUGGACUGACACUGACGCUGAGGUGCGAAAGCGUGGGUAGCAAACAGGAUUAGAUACCCGAGUAUC